rnacentral:misc_RNA from 1 species
GAUUUUUUUAUGUGCAUGAGAGAUCAAAGUUCUGGGCCUCAGACAUUAACCUGUUUUUGAAAUGUUCAAUUGAAAUUAUGCCCUUUUUUCUCUUGUUUCUUUUUAUAAUUUUUCUUUCUUGCGGGUUGAGGAACAUUUAUGAAAAAAGAGAUACAGGCUAGUCAAAGACAUUGCCAUCGGUGAAAAAUGUCAGCUUCUGCCAUUCAAUUUAAGAUAUAUCCCCUAUUAAAUCAAAGUUUCCCAUGAAUAAUUUUAGGGUAAUCAAUGUUUUACUUAGUGCAUAACUGCAUAUGUAUUUUUAAAUAUG